rnacentral:rRNA from 1 species
AGGGCGUUUUAGUAGCACGCUCAAGACCCGAAGCGGAGUGAUCUAGCCAUGGGCAGGUUGAAGCGGAGGUAAGACUUCGUGGAGGACCGAACCCACCAGGGUUGAAAACCUGGGGGAUGACCUGUGGUUAGGGGUGAAAGGCCAAUCAAACUCCGUGAUAGCUGGUUCUCCCCGAAAUGCAUUUAGGUGCAGCGUCGUGUGUUUCUUGCCGGAGGUAGAGCACUGGAUAGGCGAUGGGCCCUACCGGGUUACUGACCUUAGCCAAACUCCGAAUGCCGGUAAGUGAGAGCGCGGCAGUGAGACUGUGGGGGAUAAGCUCCAUGGUCGAGAGGGAAACAGCCCAGAGCAUCGACUAAGGCCCCUAAGCGUACGCUAAGUGGGAAAGGAUGUGGAGUCGCAGAGACAACCAGGAGGUUGGCUUAGAAGCAGCCACCCUUGAAAGAGUGCGUAAUAGCUCACUGGUCUAGUGAUUCCGCGCCGACAAUGUAGCGGGGCUCAAGCGUACCGCCGAAGUCGUGUCAUUGCAGCAUGAGGGCCAACGCCCGCUGUGAUGGGUAGGGGAGCGUCGUCUGCCGGGUGAAGCGGCACUGGAAGGUAGUCGUGGACGGUUGACGAGUGAGAAUGCAGGCAUGAGUAGCGAUACAAACGUGAGAAACGUUUGCGCCGAUUGACUAAGGGUUCCUGGGUCAAGCUGAUCUGCCCAGGGUAAGUCGGGACCUAAGGCGAGGCCGACAGGCGUAGUCGAUGGAUAACCGGUUGAUAUUCCGGUACCCGCUGUGAAGCGUCAAACAUCGAAUCCAGUGAUGCUAAGGCCGUGAAGCCGUUCCGGACCCUUCGGGGAAAGGAAAGUGGUGGAGCCGCUGACCCAAGUUGGUAGUAGGUGAGUGAUGGGGUGACGCAGGAAGGUAGUCCAUCCCGGGCGGUGGUUGUCCCGGGGUAAGGGUGUAGCCCGAGUGGUAGGCAAAUCCGCCACUCAUGCAGGGUGAGACCUGAUGCCGAGCCGAUUGUGGUGAAGUGGAUGAUCCUAUGCUGUCGAGAAAAGCCUCUAGCGAGUUUCAUGGCGGCCCGUACCCUAAACCGACUCAGGUGGUCAGGUAGAGAAUACCGAGGCGUUCGGGUGAACUAUGGUUAAGGAACUCGGCAAAAUGCCCCCGUAACUUCGGGAGAAGGGGGGCCACACCUGGUGAUCGGCUUUGCGCCGUGAGCUGGGGGUGGCCGCAGAGACCAGCGAGAAGCGACUGUUUACUAAAAACACAGGUCCGUGCGAAGCCGUAAGGCGAUGUAUACGGACUGACGCCUGCCCGGUGCUGGAACGUUAAGGGGACCGGUUAGCUCACUUUCGGGUGGGCGAAGCUGAGAACUUAAGCGCCAGUAAACGGCGGUGGUAACUAUAACCAUCCUAAGGUAGCGAAAUUCCUUGUCGGGUAAGUUCCGACCUGCACGAAUGGCGUAACGACUUCUCGACUGUCUCAACCAUAGGCCCGGUGAAAUUGCACUACGAGUAAAGAUGCUCGUUUCGCGCAGCAGGACGGAAAGACCCCGGGACCUUUACUACAGUUUGAUAUUGGUGUUCGGUUCGGCUUGUGUAGGAUAGCUGGGAGACUGUGAAGCUCGCACGCCAGUGUGGGUGGAGUCGUCGUUGAAAUACCAGUCUGGUCGUGCUGGAUGUCUAACCUGGGUCCGUGAUCCGGAUCAGGGACAGUGUCUGAUGGGUAGUUUAACUGGGGCGGUUGCCUCCUAAAGGGUAACGGAGGCGCCCAAAGGUUCCCUCAGCCUGGUUGGCAAUCAGGUGUUGAGUGUAAGUGCACAAGGGAGCUUGACUGUGAGACCGACGGGUCGAGCAGGGACGAAAGUCGGGACUAGUGAUCCGGCGGUGGCUUGUGGAAGCGCCGUCGCUCAACGGAUAAAAGGUACCCCGGGGAUAACAGGCUGAUCUUCCCCAAGAGUCCAUAUCGACGGGAUGGUUUGGCACCUCGAUGUCGGCUCGUCGCAUCCUGGGGCUGGAGUCGGUCCCAAGGGUUGGGCUGUUCGCCCAUUAAAGCGGUACGCGAGCUGGGUUUAGAACGUCGUGAGACAGUUCGGUCCCUAUCCGCUGUGCGCGUAGGAGUCUUGAGAAGGGCUGUCCCUAGUACGAGAGGACCGGGACGGACGAACCUCUGGUGUGCCAGUUGUUCUGCCAAGGGCAUGGCUGGUUGGCUACGUUCGGGAGGGAUAACCGCUGAAAGCAUCUAAGCGGGAAGCCUGCUUCGAGAUGAGGACUCCCACCCACUUGAUGGGGUAAGGCUCCCAGUAGACGACUGGGUUGAUAGGCCGGAUCUGGAAGCACGGUAACGUGUGGAGGUGACCGGUACUAAUAGGCCGAGGGCUUGUCC